rnacentral:misc_RNA from 1 species
AUAGCUUGUAGCUUUUCUCUUAAAAGAAUUGAUGAUUUUAUUAGUGCUUGCUAUUGUUCAGAAUUAAAAUAAUUUUAUGAUGAUUGAAUUCUUUUUGAUGUUUACCCAUCUAUGUUGUUUCUGAUACUAUCACAUUCGUAGCUUGAAAUUUAAAAUUCUAUAGCAUGCUCUUAUAUUGUCACUCUCUUGUAAGUAUAACGGGUGAAGAAACUCAUCAAGUGCUCAUCUCUAGUUGUGAUUUGUUGGGUUGCCUCAUGUAUCUUGGAGAAAUUUGUUCAGUUUCCUUAAAUUUUAUGUGCACACAACAAUUUCAUUAUCUCUCACAGUCUCUUUUACUUUGAAGUUUGAUUAUGCACAUGCUAUGGUAUGUAAAUAGACUAUCCUUUUCUGUCUGCCUGAAA